CUCAGCACUCUCCCCACUCGCGCACGUUAGCACAGAGACGCCUAACCUCAUGGCUUCCUCCCGCCCUCCGCCGCAGAAGCCUCUCGAUCUCGACCUCACGAUCGUCUCCGCCAAGCAUCUCAAGAACGUCAACUGGAAGAACGGCGACCUCAAGCCCUACGCGGUCUUCUGGGUGGACCCCGACCGCCGGCUGGCCACCAAGUCUGACGACUCCGGCUCCACCCGCCCGGUCUGGAACGAGCGGUUCACCGUCCCCCUCACCCUCUCCCUCCACCACUCGUUCCUCACCCUCGAAAUCUUCCACUCCAAACCCUCCGACACUCCCAAGCCCUU
rnacentral:lncRNA from 1 species